UACGAAGGGGGCUAGCGUUGCUCGGAAUUACUGGGCGUAAAGGGCGCGUAGGCGGCCCUGUUGGUCGGGCAUGAAAUCCCCGGGCUCAACCCGGGGGCUGCGCCCGAAACGGCGGGGCUGGAGGACGGGAGAGGCUCGCGGAAUUCCCAGUGUAGAGGUGAAAUGCGUUGAGAUCGGAAGGAACGCCCGUGGCGAAAGCGAGGUCCUGGACGUUUUCUGACACUGAGACGCGAAAGCCAGGGGAGCGAACGGG
rnacentral:rRNA from 1 species